rnacentral:rRNA from 1 species
AGCGAACGCUGGCGGCAGGCCUAACACAUGCAAGUCGAACGAAGUCUUCGGACUUAGUGGCGGACGGGUGAGUAACACGUGGGAACGUACCUUUUGGUUCGGAAUAACGCAGAGAAAUUUGCGCUAAUACCGAAUGAGCCCUUAGGGGGAAAGAUUUAUCGCCGAAAGAUCGGCCCGCGUUGGAUUAGGUAGUUGGUGUGGUAAAGGCGCACCAAGCCUACGAUCCAUAGCUGGUCUGAGAGGAUGAUCAGCCACACUGGGACUGAGACACGGCCCAGACUCCUACGGGAGGCAGCAGUGGGGAAUCUUGCGCAAUGGGCGAAAGCCUGACGCAGCCAUGCCGCGUGAAUGAUGAAGGUCUUAGGAUUGUAAAAUUCUUUUACCAGGGACGAUAAUGACGGUACCUGGAGAAAAAGCCCCGGCUAACUUCGUGCCAGCCGCCGCGGUAAUAC